rnacentral:lncRNA from 1 species
CGGUCAUACUGAUUUUGAUCAAUAAACAAUUAUUUAUUUUAAAAUUUACUUAAUUUACUUAUAAGUAAAAUACCUAUCUAAAAAAUUACUUGCUCUUGGCAUCACAAAAAGGUGAAGAAGCUCCAAUCUUGAAUUCAUACAAUAUCGAGAUUUUCUUGGAAUAAUUGGUCUGACCUUGAGUUCGUCCAAAUAUUUCUCACGAAAAAUGUAGACAAUAUGACAAUUAUUAAAACUUGGGUGUUCGAUUUUCCAAUAGUCAAUUACAAGUAGAAAAAGUUACAAAUUUUGAGGUCAUCCUAUACCUAAUCUGCAAUAGUCAUGUGUUACAAAAUUUUAAUAUCCUCGCGUGCAGCUUCUCUCCAAUUUAGCAGUAUCACAAUUUGUAGGUAGGUGAAUGAUAUUCAACCACCAGGUAGUUUAUCUCUUGCAAUGAAUGACAAAAAAGUAUGGACCGAUCAUAAUAAUGAAUGUAAAUAAUAUUAAUGAUAAAUAAUUCGCACCGUUUCGCUCCAAAUAAAUAAAUUUUAAUUCUUUAUACAAUAUUGACUUCAAUAGAUAAAUAAGAUUUCAAUCUUAUUAUCUUUGACUCGUAAGAUCAUGAUCAUUUGAAUACAUGAAAAAGUGCAAUAAUUGAGAAC